GGGCGAAAAAAGCAAAAACUAUGCCCGGCGAAGCUGCAAAUCAAAACUCUCACACCGCCCAGCAGCGUGCUCCGAUCGGAGCAACAGCACCUCUAUCUCACUGGGGAAUUCAGCGCCAGCUUCUGAAUCCUCAUUACACAGAAUGCUGCAGGAGCUGCAACACAACCUGCAAACAGAAUUCAGCAAGCUUGCCAGUGAUCUUAGGGCCAACAUUAAAGCCAUAGGGGAGCGUACAACUAUAUUGGAAGAUAAAACUGAGGAAAUCAUAGAGGCCCAUAACAACCUAGCAGAGGCCUAUGACUCCCUUGGGGCUAAAAUUGAGGCAUUGAGUGCAAAAGUAGCGGAUCAUGAAGACCGCCACAGAAGAAACAACAUACGCCUGCGCUGCAUCCCAGAUAUCAAACCAUCGGAACUGCAGGACUUCACCAUAAAUAUGUUCAAAACACUAUGCCCAGUUCUCACAGAGGCAAAUCUACGCCUGGAUCGUAUUCACAGGCUUCCCAGGCCACGGUUCAUUUCAGUCUCCAUGCCUAGAGACGU